AUUGAACGCUGGCGGCAUGCUUUACACAUGCAAGUCGAACGGCAGCGCGGGCUUCGGCCUGGCGGCGAGUGGCGAACGGGUGAGUAAUGCAUCGGAACGUGCCCAGUAGUGGGGGAUAGCCCGGCGAAAGCCGGAUUAAUACCGCAUACGACCUGAGGGUGAAAGCGGGGGACCGCAAGGCCUCGCGCUAUUGGAGCGGCCGAUGUCGGAUUAGCUAGUUGGUGGGGUAAAGGCUUACCAAGGCGACGAUCCGUAGCUGGUCUGAGGGGACGGCCCGCCACACGGGGAGUGAGACAGGGCCCAGACUCCGGCAGGGGGCAGCAGUGGGGAAUUUUGGGCGAUGGGGGCGAGCCGGAUCCAGCCAUGCCGCGUGCGGGAAGAAGGCCUUCUGGUUGUAGACCGCUUUUGUUCGGAAAGAAGUCCUCUGGGCUAAUACCCCAGGAGGAUGACGGUACCGGAAGAAUAAGCACCGGCUAACUACGUG
rnacentral:rRNA from 1 species